rnacentral:rRNA from 1 species
CCUACGGGUGGCAGCAGUGAGGAAUAUUGGUCAAUGGACGAAAGUCUGAACCAGCCAUGCCGCGUGCAGGAUGACGGCUCUAUGGGUUGUAAACUGCUUUUAUACGAGGGUAAACCCCGAUACGUGUACCUUUUUGAAAGUAUCGUACGAAUAAGGAUCGGCUAACUCCGUGCCAGCAGCCGCGGUAAUACGGAGGAUCCGAGCGUUAUCCGGAUUUAUUGGGUUUAAAGGGUGCGUAGGCGGUUUGAUAAGUUAGAUGUGAAAGGUCGUGGCUCAACCCUGAAACUGCCUCUAAUACUGGUGGACUGGAGAACAGUUGAGGUAGGCGGAAUGCGUGGUGUAGCGGUGAAAUGCUUAGAGAUCAUAAAGAACACCGAUUGCGAAGGCAGCUUACCAAACUAUAUCUGACGUUGAGGCACGAAAGCGUGGGUAGCAAACAGGAUUAGAUACCCUAGUAGUC